rnacentral:misc_RNA from 1 species
UUAAUUAAAUAAUUUUUGGUUAUAUUGUAUAAAAAUUAUUUAUAAAGGGUUUUAUUUGAAUUAAUAAAUAUAAUUAGUAGAGUGGAUUUUUAAAUAUAAAUUAUUUUUUUUAUUUAAGAGGAAUUUUAUUGGUUAUAUUUAUUAAUUUAGAUAAGGUUUUUUGUGAAUAGUUUUUGUAUAAUGUGAUUAGAAAUUAUUUAAUUAA